rnacentral:rRNA from 1 species
CGGCCCGGCCAUAGCGGCCGGGUAACACCCGGACUCAUUUCGAACCCGGAAGUUAAGCCGGCCGCGUUGGGACUCCAGUGGGGUCCGAGAGGCCCUGCAGGGGUCCCAAGCCGGGGCCGG